UAGCUAGUUGGUGAGGUAAAGGCUUACCAAGGCGACGAUCUGUAGCGGGUCUGAGAGGAUGAUCCGCCACACUGGAACUGAGACACGGUCCAGACUCCUACGGGAGGCAGCAGUGGGGAAUUUUGGACAAUGGGGGCAACCCUGAUCCAGCCAUGCCGCGUGAGUGAAGAAGGCCUUCGGGUUGUAAAGCUCUUUCGGCCGGGAAGAAAUCGCAUGGGCCAAUACCCUGUGUGGAUGACGGUACCGGAAUAAGAAGCACCGGCUAACUACGUGCCAGCAGCCGCGGUAAUACGUAGGGUGCGAGCGUUAAUCGGAAUUACUGGGCGUAAAGCGUGCGCAGGCGGUUUUGUAAGACAGGCGUGAAAUCCCCGGGCUUAACCUGGGAACUGCGUUUGUGACUGCAAGGCUAGAGUACGGCAGAGGGGGGUGGAAUUCCACGUGUAGCAGUGAAAUGCGUAGAGAUGUGGAGGAACACCAAUGGCGAAGGCAGCCCCCUGGGUCGAUACUGACGCUCAUGCACGAAAGCGUGGGUAGCAAACAGGAUUAGAUACCCUGGUAGUCCACGCCCUAAACUAUGUCAACUAGGUGUUGGGUGGGUAAAACCAUUUAGUACCGUAGCUAACGCGUGUAGUUGACCGCCUGGGGAGUACGGCCGCAAGGUUAAAACUCAAAGGAAUUGACGGGGACCCGCACAAGCGGUGGAUGAUGUGGAUUAAUUCGAUACAACGCGAAAAAACCUUACCUACCCUUGACAUGCCAGGAACUUGCCAGAGAUGGCUUGGUGCCCGAAAGGGAGCCUGGACACAGGUGCUGCAUGGCUGUCGUCAGCUCGUGUCGUGAGAUGUUGGGUUAAGUCCCGCAACGAGCGCAACCCUUGUCGUUAAUUGCCAUCAUUUAGUUGGGCACUUUAACGAGACUGCCGGUGACAAACCGGAGGAAGGUGGGGAUGACGUCAAGUCCUCAUGGCCCUUAUGGGUAGGGCUUCACACGUCAUACAAUGGUCGGUACAAAGGGUUGCCAAGCCGCGAGGCGGAGCCAAUCCCAGAAAGCCGAUCGUAGUCCGGAUUGCAGGCUGCAACUCGCCUGCAUGAAGUCGGAAUCGCUAGUAAUCGUGGAUCAGCAUGUCACGGUGAAUACGUUCCCGGGUCUUGUACACACCGCCCGUCACACCAUGGGAGCGGGUUCCGCCAGAAGUAGGUAGCCUAACCGCAAGGGGGGCGCUUACCACGGCGGGGUUCGUGACUGGGGUGAAGUCGGAACAAGGUAGCCGUAGGGGAACCUGCGGCUG
rnacentral:rRNA from 1 species